AAAAUAAACAAACAAACAAACAAAAAAAACAAAAUUAGAAACAUUAAACAGUGUCAUGUGGCUAAUGGUUCUCAUAUUGGACAUCACAGAAAUUCAGCCAUCAUAUUGCUUGGAGUAAUGAAACUUUAUACUCAACCUGAGACCCCACCUCCUCAGGUGGUAGCUGAUAUGGGUAACAAGAAAAUCAACUAUGCCAAUGACUCUUUGUUUGGUCCUGUGUAACCCUCUGAGAAAUCACCAAACCACCUUCUAUGGUGGCUGUGCCAUGGUGGCUGUACCAGAUUACAGUCCCAUCAGUGAUUUACCAGGAUUUUAAGUUCUCUGUAUCCUUGUCAACUUGACAGCACUUGUUACUCUCUAUUCUGGUUUGUUUUAUGGUAGGCAUCUAAAUAUGGGCAUGGUAUGCACUGCUAUCUCACUGUGGAUUUGCAAUGUUUAAAAUUACAUUUAUUCAUUAUUUGUGUGUGUGUGUGUGUGUGCAUACAUGUGCCUGGGCACAUGUGUGGAGAUCAUGGCACAAACUUGUGGGAAUUAGUUUUCUCCUUCCACUGGUGAGUUCCACCUGCCUCUGCUUCCCUAGUGCUGGGAUUAAAGACAGUUUGAUAUGAAAAGGUUCUUAAUCUGGACAAAGUCUGAUUUACCUCCUUCUGUUGUUCUAGUUAUCAUCUCUAAGCAUCAAUGAACAUGUCUGGAGAGAUGGCCUAGCAGGUUUCCCAUACUCAGGAUACCCUCCAGCGAGCCAGUUGACUUCCUGUUACCUGCAAGAUGUAGGACAUUUGGCUAUUUCUCCAGCACCAAGCCUGCCUGCCUUCCUGCCUGCUGCCAUGAUCCCCAUAAUGACUACUGAACUGACCUGCUAGAGCUUGUGAAGGGACUGGGCCUGUGGAUCUCCAAGACUCGUGGCAGCCACAGGAUAUUCCAGAGGAGUUCCAGUGAGGAUCCAGUGGAGAUGGUGUACCAGAAACAAGAAGCCUUGAACCAGACCAGUGACUCAUUGCAAAGAUAGUUUUCCAGUAAGAUUGACAGGACAAAGAGGUAUGCUAUAUGGCACACUGAAGCCUCCAUUGCCACCAGGACCAAUGAAGAGGUGUUAGAGAGGCAGGAAAGAAGAGAAUGUUCCAUGAUAUUUCCUUUUCUGUUCACCUGGGUCUCCAGGGCUGCUUGGUUACCUGGACAGUGCAGCAACAGCGUGGAAGUGCAAGCAUCUCUGUGCCACUUGACUUGGAGUGACCAGUGCGGUGGCUGGGUCAUGUGGAAGCUCUCCAUUUAGUUUUGAAGAACUUCCAUGCUGAUGUCCAUAGUGGCUGCACAAGUUUGCAUUCAUUGUCUAACCAUUUCUUUUCCUCCAAUUCUCUCCAGUAGUUGUUGUCCUUUUUAUUUUUAUUUUGUUGUUGUUUGUUUUGAGACAUCUAUAACCUGGGAUGGACUGGCAUUUACUAUGUAGGUCCGGCUGACCUUGAACUCAUAUUCUUCUUGCCUCAGCCCUUCAAGUCCUGUGAUCAUAGCAUGGAUGCAACAAUACCCAUCACCUGUUUCCUCAAUGCGGUCUAUUCUGAAGGGAGUGAGAUACAUGCUUUAUGUACCAACCCCACAUCUGAUGGGUAUCUGUAGAGAGAUGCCCUCCUGGCCAUUUUCUAGGCUGAUGAUUGUUGUUAUCUUUGCUGUACAGAAGAGUCUUAAGUCUGUGCUACUGUGUACUUGACCCUGUGACUCCCAUCAGCCCUUGCUAAAGGCACUCCCGGCCUCCUUUGCAGGUGUACUGGAUAGGCUCCAGUGGUCAGAGACAGACCUCGGGAAGGAGGCACACUGCUUGCAGAUGAAAGCCACUGUGAGAGAGUGUGCUUUUGAGCUUCAUGUGAGCCUUUCAAGGUGUCUUUUCACUGGUGCUUCCAGACGGUGACCCAUUGUUUCAAUUUCUUUUUUAGAAAAAACAAAACAAAACCCCUCCCAACUUUCCAAAAGAAGGUUAAUGGGAUAAGGCACAUCUCCACUGCUUCAGGUCAAAGCUUUAUCUUCACUAUUCAACUCUCUUCAGCUUUGACCAGAAAUUGUUUUUCUCAUACAAUUCUUUUUUUGCUGAGAUACAUUCUAUACACCUUAGGGUGCCUCCCUACCUUUCCUUUUUGCAGUACUCGGGGUUGGUCCUGGGCCUCACAUGUGCCACUGAACCUCUUUCACUUAUUGAAAGUGUAUGCAGAGUUCCUACCCUACUACCCACUCCUGCAACCACCAAUUUACUCUCUCUGUCUAUCCUCUUAGUGUUGAGGAUUGAACCCAGGGCGUUUCACAUGUUACAUGAAUACUGUACCACUGAGUGGUAGUUAUUCUUUGUGGAUUUUUCUAUUUUGACAGUUCAUAUACCCAGAAUCAUAGGACGUGUGGCCUUUUCCAUCUGAUGCCUUACAUCCAGCUGAGGGUUUCCUUGACUCGUCUGUGUCAUGGCAUAUACUGCUACUCCAUUCUGUUUUAUAGUAGAA
rnacentral:lncRNA from 1 species